rnacentral:rRNA from 1 species
UACGGGGGGGGCAAGCGUUGUUCGGAAUUACUGGGCGUAAAGGGCUCGUAGGUGGCCAACUAAGUCAGACGUGAAAUCCCUCAGCUUAACUGGGGAACUGCGUCUGAUACUGGAUGGCUUGAGUUCGGGAGAGGGAUGCGGAAUUCCAGGUGUAGCGGUGAAAUGCGUAGAUAUCGGGAGGAACAUCAGUUGCGAAGGCGGCUCUCUGGACCAGUACUGACGCUGAGGCACGAAAGCGUGGGGAGCAAACAGG